rnacentral:rRNA from 1 species
UACGAAGGGGGCUAGCGUUGCUCGGAAUCACUGGGCGUAAAGGGUGCGUAGGCGGGUCUUUAAGUCAGAGGUGAAAUCCUGGAGCUCAACUCCAGAACUGCCUUUGAUACUGAAGAUCUUGAGUUCGGGAGAGGUGAGUGGAACUGCGAGUGUAGAGGUGAAAUUCGUAGAUAUUCGCAAGAACACCAGUGGCGAAGGCGGCUCACUGGCCCGGUACUGACGCUGAGGCACGAAAGCGUGGGGAGCAAACAGG